rnacentral:rRNA from 1 species
UACGAAGGAUUCGAGCGUUAUCCGGAUUUAUUGGGUUUAAAGGGUGCGUAGGCGGACUGAUAAGUCAGUGGUGAAAGCCUGUUGCUUAACAACAGAACUGCCAUUGAUACUGCCAGUCUUGAGUACAGUUGAGGUAGGCGGAAUGUGUCAUGUAGUGGUGAAAUACUUAGAUAUGACACAGAACUCCGAUUGCGAAGGCAGCUCACUAAACUGUAACUGACGCUGAGGCACGAAAGCGUGGGGAUCAAACAGG